rnacentral:rRNA from 1 species
UACGGGGGGGGCAAGCGUUGUUCGGAAUUACUGGGCGUAAAGGGCUCGUAGGUGGCCAACUAAGUCAGACGUGAAAUCCCUCGGCUUAACCGGGGAACUGCGUCUGAUACUGGAUGGCUUGAGUUUGGGAGAGGGACGCGGAAUUCCAGGUGUAGCGGUGAAAUGCGCAGAUAUCGGGAAGAACACCCGUGGCGAAGGCGGCUCUCUGGGACGGUACUGACGCUGAGACGCGAAAGCGUGGGGAGCGAACAGG